rnacentral:hammerhead_ribozyme from 1 species
AUUCAACUGAUGAGUCCCAAAUAAAAUGAAACGCAUAUCCUGAAU